GGAGUUGGGGAAGGUAACUAUUCUAGCUCACCCUUUAUAAGGAAGUGAGUAAGAGGGUAGCCAGGUGCUUUGGCAGGGCUAGGAGCUCACCUUUGUUCAAGCCAUUGUAUGAGCCCUAUUUUGAGGAACAUCAUUGUUCUUUCAGCUCAAUGAGGAGCUCCAGACAUCCCAGAAGAUAAAGUGUUUGAAGGAUGGAGGAUACGAGCUGCAAAAUCAUCAGAUGGUGACAGACAUGGAGAAUAACCUCACAGUGAACACACAUCCACUGGAGAGCACAGUACUGAUCAUCCAGCAUGACUGGCGAGACUUCCUGCUUUAUCC